UACGUAGGGGGCUAGCGUUGUCCGGAAUCAUUGGGCGUAAAGCGCGUGUAGGCGGCUCGGUAAGUCUGCUGUGAAAGUCCAGGGCUCAACCCUGGGAUGCCGGUGGAUACUGUCGAGCUCGAGUCCGGAAGAGGCGAGUGGAAUUCCUGGUGUAGCGGUGAAAUGCGCAGAUAUCAGGAGGAACACCAAUGGCGAAGGCGGCUUGCCAGAACGCGCUCGACGGUGAGGGAUGAAAGCUGGGGGAGCAAACCGG
rnacentral:rRNA from 1 species